rnacentral:pre_miRNA from 1 species
UGGAUAGUUAAACUUGAGGAAGAAAACGAGAAAGGACGGACAAACACAAACUUCCAUUCUUUCUCGUUUUCUUCCUCAAGUUUAAAUAUUACUCA